rnacentral:rRNA from 1 species
CCUACGGGAGGCAACAGUGAGGAAUAUUGGUCAAUGGACGAGAGUCUGAACCAGCCAAGUAGCGUGAAGGAUGACUGCCCUAUGGGUUGUAAACUUCUUUUAUAAAGGAAUAAAACGAGGCACGUGUGCCUUUUUGCAUGUACUUUAUGAAUAAGGAUCGGCUAACUCCGUGCCAGCAGCCGCGGUAAUACGGAGGAUCCGAGCGUUAUCCGGAUUUAUUGGGUUUAAAGGGAGCGUAGAUGGGUUGUUAAGUCAGUUGUGAAAGUUUGCGGCUCAACCGUAAAAUUGCAAUUGAUACUGGCAUUCUUGAGUACAGUUGAGGUAGGCGGAAUUCGUGGUGUAGCGGUGAAAUGCUUAGAUAUCACGAAGAACCCCGAUUGCGAAGGCAGCUUACUAAACUGUGACUGACAUUGAUGCUCGAAAGUGUGGGUAUCAAACAGGAUUAGAUACCCGAGUAGUC